rnacentral:rRNA from 1 species
AGUGAACGCUGGCGGUAGGCCUAACACAUGCAAGUCGAACGGCAGCACAGUAAGAGCUUGCUCUUACGGGUGGCGAGUGGCGGACGGGUGAGGAAUACAUCGGAAUCUACUUUUUCGUGGGGGAUAACGUAGGGAAACUUACGCUAAUACCGCAUACGACCUCCGGGGGAAGGCCGGGGAUCUUCGGACCUUGCGGGAUUGAAUGGGCCGAUGUCGGAUUCGCUAGUUGGCGGGGUAAAGGCCCACCAAGGCGACGAUCCGUAGCUGGUCUGAGAGGAUGAUCAGCCACACUGGAACUGAGACACGGUCCAGACUCCUACGGGAGGCAGCAGUGGGGAAUAUUGGACAAUGGGCGCAAGCCUGAUCCAGCCAUACCGCGUGGGUGAAGAAGGCCGUCGGGUUGGAAAGCCCUGUUGUUGGGAAAGAAAAGCAGCAGGUUAAUACCCCGCUGUUCUGACGGUACCCAAAGAAUAAGCACCGGCUAACUUCGUG